UAGAUCAUACCUGCACUAAUGCACCGGAUACCAUCAGAACUCCGAAGUUAAGCGUUCUUGGGCGAGAGCAGUACUAGGAUGGGUUACCCCCUGGGAAGUUCUCGUGUUGCACCU
rnacentral:rRNA from 1 species